rnacentral:tmRNA from 1 species
GGGGAUGUUUUUUAUUCGAUGCCGAGCUUAAAUAAUAUACGGCGAGCGGAGUUGGCGGUCUCCUAAAAACCCAAAAAAAUAAGUGCAAAAAACACUUUUGCUAAAGUCAAAGAGCUGUUUACAGUUCCUAGACUAGCACCAGUCUUGGCCUAAAAACGGCCUUGACCGUUUCUGGAUUGUUUUGCCUGAGAACAACCAGAGGCGUCAUUUAUCAGGCUAAAAACAUCUGAUGUUAGUAAGGGUGUUUUGAAAUCCCCAACUAACUGGAUUAUUGGCGUUUUGUUAAUUUUUGAGCCAAUAAUUGAGAAAACAAAAUUAACUACGCUUGUAGAAAUAUAUUAGGAAGUUUGUCAGACAGGGGCGUAAUACCCCUCAUCUCCACCA